GUUGUAGCUGGCCUUUCAAAGGGCAUGUGCACGCCUCGCUUCAAUCCACUUACCCCUGUGAACACUCUGUAGGUCGGCUCAAGGGACAAAUUCUUAACGGGGUUUGUUUUGGGCCUUCCUAUGUUUUAUUACAAACGUUUAAAGUCUAAAGAAUGUACUCGCGUCUAACGCAUUAUAUACAACUUUCAGCAACGGAUCUCUUGGCUCUCGCAUCGAUGAAGAACGCAGCGAAAUGCGAUAAGUAAUGUGAAUUGCAGAAUUCAGUGAAUCAUCGAAUCUUUGAACGCACCUUGCGCUCCUUGGUAUUCCGAGGAGCAUGCCUGUUUGAGUGUCAUGGAAUUAUCAACUUGUUUAUCUUUGUAUGAACGCAGUUGGAUUUGGAGGCCAUUGCCGGAUUGUAAUGACUCGGCUCCUCUUGAAUGCAUUAGCUCGAACCUUUGCGGAUCAGCUUUUGGUGUGAUAAUUGUCUACGCCGCUAACUGAGACACAUGAAUGGGAUCGGCUUACAGUCGUCCUUGAACGGACAAUUUAUUAUGACUUCUGACCUCAAAUCAGGUAGGAUUACCCGCUGAACUUAAGCAUAUCAAUAAGCGGAGGAAAAGAAACUAACAAGGAUUCCCCUAGUAACUGCGAGUGAAGCGGGAAAAGCUCAAAUUUAAAAUCUGGCGGUCUUUGGCCGUCCGAGUUGUAGUCUGGAGAAGUGCUUUCCGCGCUGGACCGUGUACAAGUCUCUUGGAACAGAGCGUCAUAGAGGGUGAGAAUCCCGUCUUUGACACGGACUACCAGUGCUUUGUGAUGCGC
rnacentral:rRNA from 1 species